AGUGAACGCUGGCGGUAGGCCUAACACAUGCAAGUCGGACGGCAGCACAGUAAGAGCUUGCUCUUACGGGUGGCGAGUGGCGGACGGGUGAGGAAUACAUCGGAAUCUACUUUUUCGUGGGGGAUAACGUAGGGAAACUUACGCUAAUACCGCAUACGACCUACGGGUGAAGGCAGGGGAUCUUCGGACCUUGCGCGAUUGAAUGAGCCGAUGUCGGAUUAGCUAGUUGGCGGGGUAAAGGCCCACCAAGGCGACGAUCCGUAGCUGGUCUGAGAGGAUGAUCAGCCACACUGGAACUGAGACACGGUCCAGACUCCUACGGGAGGCAGCAGUGGGGAAUAUUGGACAAUGGGCGCAAGCCUGAUCCAGCCAUACCGCGUGGGUGAAGAAGGCCUUCGGGUUGUAAAGCCCUUUUGUUGGGAAAGAAAAGCAGCAGGUUAAUACCCCGCUGUUCUGACGGUACCCAAAGAAUAAGCACCGGCUAACUUCGUG
rnacentral:rRNA from 1 species